GUAGGAGGGAGGGCGGCGGCGAAGCUGGUGGUGGGAGGGGGUUUUUGAAACUUAAGAAGCUCCCUCAAAUAUUCUGCUAACCAAAAAAUCAAGACAGGAAAUGGAAAUGUUGGUUGUGGUUAAGCACACGGGCCAAGUCUGCCCCUAAGAUGGAACAAACAAGUUAAAGUACAGGAAGUUAUCAUAGAAUUGAGGGCCCCUUGGUCUUAACGUUGUGUCAAGCCCAAAAUUUGAUUAGCCUUGUCAACACCUAAAAUUGCCUUUGUGAUGUCCAAGAGAGUCCCUGGAACAUCACCAAGAUUUGUUCUUUCCCACUGUGAAAAGAGAAAUAUUAGAAAUACUUAGGGCUAUUUGAUAUGUUACCGAUGAUGAGUUACAUUAAAAAUACUGUCAAAUCUGAAGAAACGCUUAAACUUUCCUAGGUUAAAUUUGUGUGGGUAGAAUGUUAUUAACAUUAAUAUUUAAACACUUGUAUUCUGUAUGAGAAAGUUCCAGAGGACUGUCAAUGUUUUUGCUGUCAAUGAUUUGUUUCUGUUUACCCAAGUCCUUGUGUUGCUUUGCCUAUAAGACAAAAGCAGCAUAGUGUUAUUGGUCAUAGCUUCAAUUACUUUUGAAAACAUUAACUUGGUUGUAACUUCUUUAAUUUGAAUCUAAUAUAUUGUAGGCCAGUAGUUUUCUAUUUGGAAUUCACAACACUUAUCUGUGGAGUUUUAUUAAUCUACUGAUGUUUAAAGCCAAUUCCAGAUGUGCUGAAUCUAUUUACUUGAUAAGCUUGAUAGUCUUUUCAUAUUCUAAGGAUGUGCUAGUUAUAGGUGGCAUCCAAUUUUUAUAUGUUAUAUCUGAAAAUGUUUUCUCUGUGAAGAUGAUAUCCUUCCAUUUUCAUAAGCUAGAUAUAAUAUCCACCUUUUUUUGAAAAUAGACUUAACUCUUUGUGUUUAUAGAUAUUUUGUAUAGCAUUGUUUUGGAUUGACUUUGUUUUGCAUGCCACAGAAAAACCAGAUAUGCUUGUUAAUUGCAUUAUUGUUGUAACAAACCUUCUUUAGAUUAUUCCCUUGUGAAAAAUAUCAAUAAUAAGGAAAUAUUAGCCAUUUUUAGUCUUUUUACAUCUAUAGAUAGUUUUGUUUGUGUGUUUUGUUUUACUCCUGAUGUUUCCAUGAAAUCGAAUGCAAUGAGCUAUAGGACAGAAAUUCCAUUUUCAAUAAAGAAAGACCGUCUUAGAGCCUGGUGGAAAAGGACCAUACUAGGGACUCUUGGGUACAGGCUACUGAUGGCAUUGCUUAAGCAACUACAAAAUCACACCAGUGGAUCAAGUCAGGAGCUACAGACCUCUAUUGGAAAGCAGGUGCAUUCAUUGGACUACUGACUCAAGUUCAAGUGGAAGAAAAAAUAAUUGCCUAGGAAUGAAUGGACUGAAUAAAUUGGGUGAAUAGGAACUUUGUUUGGAAUAGCUGAUGCAUUAAUGUUCUAUUUUCUGGAUAUAAGGAACCGCUUUCUGUGAAGCUAUCUAUCACUCAUAACAAUUUAGUAGACGGUGCUCUUGUAAACAGAAAUGAUCAGCUACCUGCCUGAAUGCUUUGUCUUCAGCCAAAAAGGACAGUCUCAGAGACCCAUGGGGAAGAACUAUGCCAGCUACUCUUGCACACAGGCUCCUGAUGGCAUUGCUUAAAUAACUUUGGUUAUUGGUGGACUCAGUCAGGAUUUCCAGAACCUUAGUUGAGAAGAAGAUGGAUUUAUGAGACUGCUAAUCCAAGUUAGAGUGAGGCAGGUUUGAUGGCAUGGGACUGAAUGAACUGCUGAUGGAUGGAUAUGGGCUUUGUUUGGAAUAGUGCUGAUGCUCUAAUGUUCUAUUCUCUGGGUAUAAGGACCACUUUCUAUUAAGCUAUCUAUCACUCAUAACAAUUUAGUAGACUGUGCUCUUGUAAACAGCAAUGAAACAUUUAUCUGCUCCACCCUGACUCACCUUUCCACAAUUCUGAAACUCUUAUUGAGUACUCUUAUUUUCAUGGCAAUACAGUUAUCUGCAUAGAUUCAAUAAGAGUCCUUCCACCUUUUUAACAAGUGGACCAUAAUUGGGAACAUUGGUUAUGCAACCGAGGCUUUGCCUAUAAUGUCAUAUUUGAGAAUGAUGCUCAUUUAAUCAGCUAUGACCAGAUGCUUCUAGGCACUAAGGUUGACUUGGUGGGGGCUCAUGCUUACCGAGUCUCUCUCGGGAAGACUAGCCUGGUAACUGGCUUCAUAGGGUUCCCAGCCUUACAGGUGAGUGAGGAAGGUCACUUCCUGGCGGGCUCAGGAAUCUUAGGCUGCUUUGGGGGACCUCGGGAAGAGAGGAAUGCCCAUCAAAUCACUGGGUGCUGCAGGUGAAAAGUGGGGGUGAAUUCUUGGUUUGGCUUCCGACCCUCAAGAGGCUUUGAAAAGUCCAAUCUGAGAUUCUUUAUGAAAACUCUCAGCAAAGCAAAUCUAAAACCUAUGUGGUAAAUUGUCAUUCUUGGUGCAUCUAUGCAAGUAACCAGGCCACUGUAAUGAGACCAGCCUUAUUUUGUGAUCAAGAAUAACUUUUCUUUGAGAUUGUGUUUGAUCUUUUAAAAAAUGUUUUUUUUUCUUUAUCUUUGAGAUUGUGUUUGAUCAGAAUGGUAAGAGAGACUGUAGUGAGAAAUUUUGUUUCAAUAGGAAAUAGUAGCUGACUCUCUGGAUAUUCAGAUUCUGAUCCUCUUCAUUGUCUUUGAGCUAUGUUGCACCUUUCUGUAAUUGCUUUCAACUGACUUUGUCUGAUCUAGUAACCAAGCUUUCUCUUUCACUGUGGAAAAAUCAGUUUGGUAUUGAACUGGAUUCUUCCACCUUGCAUAGACUGUCGAUCCUUACCAGGUUUUCAGCUCUUCCAGACCCCUUGAAUAUCUGACUACAAACUCACCUUCGCCUUCAAACUAAGAUUUCCAUUCUUUCUCCUUUCUUCUUGACUUGGAGUCACUGAGAACUAAAACCUGAUUGCCAGAUUCUUAUUGGGACUCCGAGGUGGCCUUGUAACUGGUGCUUUCCCCCUUGGACUAAAGACUCAUUGCAAGUUCAAGCCUGAGGACAUGUUAUAAGCCUAUGACUAGGACUCAUCAUUUCAGCUGACCAUUCAUCGCACAGCUCUUUCCUUGGAUAAACUGCUGUUUGGACUACUGUGGAAGUCUGGUGAAAUUCUCAGGUCACCCGUGCCCUGGCUGGAGAGGUAACCAACACUUUGGACAACAUCACCAAAGCAGUCAACAUCAUAAGUUCAAAAACCUCAGUGAAAGUUUCCUUGGAGGUUCCACUAAGAUACAGUUUCCACUGGUAGUGAGCAUGGACUCCAGUCUUCGUCCAAGUGUGGAAGCCCUUGUGCUUUGCUGCUCACCCCUUGUCGAGUCCACAACAAUGUGGAUAUUUCAUUUAUUGGAAGAGACAUCAUAGGAAAACUGUUGCUCUUGACUUCAUUGGAAAGGACCUUAUCAGAUCUCUGCGUGUGCCUGCUGAGUACUACUUCCUUCGUGACCACAACGCCCAGCUCUGUUUGCUUCAGACGCUGCCAGAUGAAUCCUAUGCAAGAUGCCCAGACUUCAAAAUUCUACCACAACUGAGCUGUGCUGUUCCCUUUCAACAUAUGAUUUGACUUAUUUUACAGAAACAACACCAACAAAAGUCCCAGAAAGACUAUUAAUCAGAUCCUGCUUUGUCUUGCUCAGUUUUAUACUCGUCUCUUGGUUGUUUAGGAACCUAUUGUGUUCAUUAAUAUUGAACAAAACGAAGGGCUGACACUGUUGAACUUUACCUAUGGUGUGUGUCACUAGAAAACAAGUGAUGCUUAAGAAAUGCUUAGGGCUGGGAAGGAUGGGGGGUGGGCAGGGGAUGGGAGGGGCAGCAAUGAUAUAAUUUUUUCUUGAUGUGAUGAGAAUGUUCUAAAAUUGAUUGUGGCGAUGAUUUCAAAUUUGUGAAUAUAAUAAAAAUCAUUGUAAGAUCUUUGUUCAGGCCUCAGAAGUAUUGCCGGUGGUGCCUAGUAGACCCUCUCAUGUAGACCAAAGGGCUUCUAAUGAUCCUUUGUAUCCUCAUAGGCAGCCAGAAUUAGAUGCAGGUUCAACUCAAAAAUAAUUAUGGAUGUGGCUUUGGGAUACAGAGUGAACUGCUCAUCAGAUUCCUAGAAAAUCCACAAAAUUUUAAAGAGAAUCACAUUGGUGAAAAUGCUGGCAGCUUGAAUUCAAAGGGACAAAGUUCAGAACGGGCUCUCAACUUCUGAUGCUCAGGAAACUGGCUUCCAAAGAGCUAAAAACAUCUGCAAACAUGGCUCAUUUGUUUCCCGUAGUUUUUAACAGCUUGAUUGAGAUCUGAUUCAUACACCACACAAUUCACUCAUUUAAACGCACGAGGACAAAUAAAACAUUAUUAAAACGAAUCUCGCAUGUUCUCAAAAUUUUGAAUGUGGCUGCUAGAAAACUUACAAUUUUCAUAUUUGCUUUUAUUGACAAAAUAAAAUCUCGAGUAUAUUUUUAUUUCUUACACAAAAUUACAAAGCCCAAACCUUCACCUGCCAUGUGACCAAAAGAUCUUCAUCCAGAAAAAAUCUCCUUGAUGGCUUUCUGACUUUUAAAUUGUUAGCUGCCAUCGACUCUUCUUG